GUGGGGAAUAUUGGGCAAUGGGGGAAACCCUGACCCAGCGACGCCGCGUGAGGGAAGACGGCCUUCGGGUUGUAAACCUCUUUUGUACGGGAAGAAGGAAGUGACGGUACUGUACGAAUAAGUCCCGGCUAACUACGUGCCAGCAGCCGCGGUAAUACGUAGGGGACGAGCGUUGUCCGGAAUUACUGGGCGUAAAGGGCGCGCAGGCUGUGCUGCAAGUCAGCUGUGAAAUGUCUGGGCUUAACCCGGGCAUGCGGUUGAGACUGCAGUGCUGGAGUGCUGUAGAGGCAAGUGGAAUUCCCAGUGUAGCGGUGAAAUGCGUAGAUAUGGGGAGGAACACCAGUGGCGAAGGCGGCUUUCUGGACGGUGUCUGACACUGAGGCGCGAAAGCUAGGGGAGCGAACGGGAUUAGAAACCCCAGUAGUCC
rnacentral:rRNA from 1 species